GACGAACGCUGGCGGCGUGCUUAACACAUGCAAGUCGAACGGAAAGGCCCUGCUUGGCGGGUACUCGAGUGGCGAACGGGUGAGUAACACGUGGGUGAUCUGCCCUGCACUUCGGGAUAAGCCUGGGAAACUGGGUCUAAUACCGGAUAGGAGCCAUUUUUAGUGUGAUGGUUGGAAAGUUUUUUCGGUGUAGGAUGAGCUCGCGGCCUAUCAGCUUGUUGGUGGGGUAAUGGCCUACCAAGGCGGCGACGGGUAGCCGGCCUGAGAGGGUGGACGGCCACAUUGGGACUGAGAUACGGCCCAGACUCCUACGGGAGGCAGCAGUGGGGAAUAUUGCACAAUGGGCGCAAGCCUGAUGCAGCGACGCCGCGUGGGGGAUGACGGCCUUCGGGUUGUAAACUCCUUUCGCUAGGGACGAAGCUUUUUGUGACGGUACCUAGAUAAGAAGCACCGGCUAACUACGUG
rnacentral:rRNA from 1 species